rnacentral:sRNA from 1 species
GGGUGUGGUCUUCGGUCCGAAGGCGUAGGUGCGGGGAGUGGGUGCGGCAGGAGUUGGGAUGAUCGUUAACAUUUAGACUGGAGCUAUUUCCCUGGAGGUGCACCCUUGGGAAGGGCCUGACUGUGUGAAGAGUGAACAGCAGUCCUCCGCCCCCUUCUGGGCUCGCGGUAAAGUGGUGGCUCCUGUGUCCCCGCUGUUCCGCCUGUGCACUGGCCAACUUUUUAAAGCCGUACCCCAAAGUGCUGUCAUCCAGCAAAACCGAGCCCGAAGAGACGGAGCGAGCUCCUUUCGCCGUGGGGACAGUCCAAAGUGAAGUCAAACUGAGUAUUUACCUGGGUAGGACGCCAAAUUAUUUGAAAAUAAAUACUAAAAACCUUAGCAUAAAUUGAACCUAGCUUCAGAUAGACCAGGCACCAGAGAUGUAGCCUAAGAAAAUAAUCAGAUGCACCCAAAGAGCUUUGCACAAGGAUAUUCAUGGGGGCCCUUAUGUUUUUGAAGCAUAUUUAGUGGUCUGGAAGAGUGCUCAUGAUGCGAAGCUAACUGAACUAUAUAUACAUAAUUAUCCAGA